GUCUACGACCAUACCACCCUGAAAUCACCCAAUCUCAUCUGAUCUCAGAAGCUAAGCAGGGUUGGGCCUGGUUGGUACUUGGAUGGGAGAAAAGAUAUAUGAAAAUA
rnacentral:rRNA from 1 species